GCUUAAGUAGCUUAAACAAAGCAUUACACUGAAGAUGUAAAGAAAGAAAAAAAUCUCUAAAGCC
rnacentral:tRNA from 1 species